rnacentral:rRNA from 1 species
UUAUGGCUCAGGAUGGACGCUGGCGGCGUGCUUAAUACAUGCAAGUCGAACGGAAGUGUAGCAAUACGAUUUAGUGGCGAACGGGCGAGUAACGCGUUGAUGACCUGCCCCGAAGUGUGGGAUACCAGUUCGAAAGGAUUGCUAAUACCGCAUGUGAUCAUUGGGAUUAGAUGCCCUUUGAUUAAAGGAGAAAUUCGCUUUGGGAGGGAUCUGCGUACCAUCAGCUAGUUGGUAGGGUAACGGCCUACCAAGGCGAUGACGGUUAGGGGACCUGAGAGGGUGGACCCCCGCACUGGCACUGAAACACGGGCCAGACACCUACGGGUGGCAGCAGUAGGGAAUAUUGGUUAAUGGGCGAAAGCCCGAAACCCAGCAACGCCGCGUGCACGAUGAAGGCCUUCGGGUCGUAAAGUGCUUUUUGGAGGGAUGAGGAAGGACAGUACCUUCAGAAUAAGCCUCGGCUAACUACGUGCCAGCCGCCGC